AGGAUGAACGCUGGCGGCGUGCCUAACACAUGCAAGUCGAGCGCCCGUAGCAAUACGGGAGCGGCAGACGGGAUAGUAACACGUGGGAACGCGCCCUUCGGUUCGGAAUAACUCAGGGAAACUUGAGCUAAUACCGGAUACGCCCUUACGGGGAAAGAUUUAUUGCCGAAGGAACGGCCCGCGUCCGAUUAGCUAGUUGGUGAGGUAAUGGCUCACCAAGGCGACGAUCGGUAGCUGGUCUGAGAGGAUGACCAGCAUCACUGGGACUGAGACACGGCCCAGACUCCUACGGGAGGCAGCAGUGGGGAAUAUUGGACAAUGGGCGCAAGCCUGAUCCAGCCAUGCCGCGUGGAUGAUGAAGGCCUUAGGGUUGUAAAGUCCUUUUAACGGGGAAGAUAAUGACGGUACCCGUAGAAUAAGCCCCGGCUAACUUCGUGCCAGCAGCCGC
rnacentral:rRNA from 1 species